CCCUCCCUCUGUCGGCAUGCCUAACACAUGCAAGUCGAACGAGACCUUCGGGUCUAGUGGCGCACGGGUGCGUAACGCGUGGGAACCUGCCCUUAGGUUCGGAAUAACUCCCCGAAAGGGGUGCUAAUACCGGAUAAUGUCUUCGGACCAAAGAUUUAUCGCCUUUGGAUGGGCCCGCGUUGGAUUAGCUAGUUGGUAGGGUAAAAGCCUACCAAGGCGACGAUCCAUAGCUGGUCUGAGAGGAUGAUCAGCCACACUGGGACUGAGACACGGCCCAGACUCCUACGGGAGGCAGCAGUGGGGAAUAUUGGACAAUGGGCGAAAGCCUGAUCCAGCAAUGCCGCGUGAGUGAUGAAGGCCUUAGGGUUGUAAAGCUCUUUUACCCGGGAUGAUAAUGACAGUACCGGGAGAAUAAGCUCCGGCUAACUCCGUG
rnacentral:rRNA from 1 species